rnacentral:lncRNA from 1 species
AGAGAGCAAUCAGUCAGCACUUGGAAUCAAGCUUCCAGCCAGGAACUGACUGCCUGGAACCCCUUACCUGAUUACUUACCUGGCAUUGCUCUCGAGUACUCAUCUUCAACAUCUUAUGCUUCCAGGGAAGAUACCGCAUCUGCCUGAGGAACAGAUAGGGGCAAGUGAGAAGGAUACAAGGAAGCAUGUGGAGACAAGCGUAACAGCACACGUGCCGAUACAUCCACUACUCUGUCAAAAGCAAAAGUAUCCCAU